UAGCUCAGUUGGUAGAGCAUGGUGUUUGCAACGCCAGGGUUGUGGGUUCGAGUCCCAC
rfam:Salmo salar isolate Sally breed double haploid chromosome ssa29, whole genome shotgun sequence.